UACCUGUAAGUUACGCCUGCGCACGCAUGCCUAAUACAUGCAAGUCGAGCGGACGGAUGGGAGCUUGCUCCCAGACCGCCAGCGGCGGACGGGUGAGUAACACGUGGGCAACCUGCCUGUAAAACUGGGAUAACUCCGGGAAACCGGGGCUAAUACCGGAUAAUUCUUUCCCUCACAUGAGGGAAAGCUGAAAGAUGGUUUCGGCUAUCACUUACAGAUGGGCCCGCGGCGCAUUAGCUAGUUGGUGAGGUAACGGCUCACCAAGGCAACGAUGCGUAGCCGACCUGAGAGGGUGAUCGGCCACACUGGGACUGAAACACGGCCCAAACUCCUACGGGAGGCAGCAGUAGGGAAUCUUCCGCAAUGGACAAAAGUCUGACGGAGCAACCCCGCGUGAGUGAUGAAGGUUUUCGGAUCGUAAAACUCUGUUGUUAGGGAAAAACAAGUACCGGAGUAACUGCCGGUACCUUGACGGUACCUAACCAAAAAGCCACGGCUAACUAGGUGCCAGCAGCCGCGGUAAUACGUAGGGGGAAAGCGUUGUCCGGAAUUAUUGGGCGUAAAGCGCGCGCAGGCGGUUCCUUAAGUCUGAUGGGAGAGCCCCCGGCUCAACCGGGGAGGGUCAUUGGAAACUGGGGAA
rnacentral:rRNA from 1 species